rnacentral:rRNA from 1 species
AGGAUGAACGCUGGCGGCGUGCAUAACACAUUCAAGUCGAACGGCAAAGGGGGAGCUUGCUCCCCCGCGUUAGUGGCGGACGGGUGAGUAACGCGUGAGCAACCUGCCUUUUCAAAAGCGGGGACAACAGUUGGAAACGACUGCUAAUACCGCAUAACGUAAUUGUUUCGCAUGUGACGAUUACCAAAGCAGCAAUACGAUGAAAGAUGGGCUCGCGUCUGAUUAGCUAGUUGGUGAGGUAACGGGCUCACCAAGGCGACGAUCAGUAGCCGGACUGAGAGGUUGAACGGCCACAUUGGAACUGAGAAACGGUCCAGACUCCUACGGGAGGCAGCAGUGGGGAAUAUUGGGCAAUGGGCGCAAGCCUGACCCAGCAACGCCGCGUGAAGGAAGAAGGCUUUCGGGUUGUAAACUUCUUUUAUCAGGGACGAAGAAUGACGGUACCUGAGGAAUAAGCCACGGCUAACUACGUG